rnacentral:rRNA from 1 species
UACGAAGGGGGCAAGCGUUGUUCGGAAUUAUUGGGCGUAAAGGGAGCGUAGGCGGUUUGGCAAGUCUUUAGUGAAAUCUCCCGGCUCAACUGGGAGGGUGCGCCGAAUACUGAGUGACUCGAGUGCGGGAGAGGAGAGUGGAAUUCCUGGUGUAGCGGUGAAAUGCGUAGAUAUCAGGAGGAACACCGGUGGUGAAGACGGCUCUCUGGACCGUAACUGACGCUGAGACACGAAAGCGUGGGUAGCAAACAGG